UUAUAAUGAUGUCCUCAAAUGUCUGACCUGAAAUCAGCAUGUAGAUAAAUCACAGCACUGAAGUG
rnacentral:snoRNA from 15 species